UACGGAGGGUGCAAGCGUUGUCCGGAUUUAUUGGGUUUAAAGGGUGCGUAGGUGGCUAUUUAAGUCAGUGGUGAAAUACGGUAGCUUAACUAUCGAGGUGCCAUUGAUACUGCAGAGCUUGAGUACAGAUGAGGUAGGCGGAAUUGACGGUGUAGCGGUGAAAUGCUUAGAUAUCGUCAAGAACACCUAUAGCGAAGGCAGCUUACUAGGCUGUAACUGACGCUGAGGCACGAAAGUGUGGGGAUCAAACAGG
rnacentral:rRNA from 1 species